CCCACUUCUUGGCCUUUUGGCUAUGAUCAAGUGUAGUUUCUGUGUAGAAACCCUCCCACAAUGAGGUGAAAAAGGCCUUUAAGCGUUUAAAUUAAAUGUAAGGAAUUCUUUUUAGGUGGAUAUUUUGCAGUUAAUAUUCUUUUGAGGGAAAAUUUGUACAGCUAUGUGUUUCUUGCUGUUUUUAAAAUUCUUGCC